CAUGGGAGUGGGCUGCACCAGAAGCAAGUAGGCUAACCGCGAGGAAGCCGCUUACCACGGUGUGAUUCAUGACUGGGCUG
rnacentral:rRNA from 1 species